GGAAAGGCGUGCGAUACAGGGUGACAGCCCCGUACACAAAAAUGCACAUGCUGUGAGCUCGAUGAGUAGGGCGGGACACGUGGUAUCCUGUCUGAAUAUGGGGGGACCAUCCUCCAAGGCUAAAUACUCCUGACUGACCGAUAGUGAACCAGUACCGUGAGGGAAAGGCGAAAAGAACCCCGGCGAGGGGAGUGAAAAAGAACCUGAAACCGUGUACGUACAAGCAGUGGGAGCCUCUUUAUGGGGUGACUGCGUACCUUUUGUAUAAUGGGUCAGCGACUUAUAUUCUGUAGCAAGGUUAACCGAAUAGGGGAGCCGAAGGGAAACCGAGUCUUAACUGGGCGUUAAGUUGCAGGGUAUAGACCCGAAACCCGGUGAUCUAGCCAUGGGCAGGUUGAAGGUUGGGUAACACUAACUGGAGGACCGAACCGACUAAUGUUGAAAAAUUAGCGGAUGACUUGUGGCUGGGGGUGAAAGGCCAAUCAAACCGGGAGAUAGCUGGUUCUCCCCGAAAGCUAUUUAGGUAGCGCCUCGUGAAUUCAUCUCCGGGGGUAGAGCACUGUUUCGGCAAGGGGGUCAUCCCGACUUACCAACCCGAUGCAAACUGCGAAUACCGGAGAAUGUUAUCACGGGAGACACACGGCGGGUGCUAACGUCCGUCGUGAAGAGGGAAACAACCCAGACCGCCAGCUAAGGUCCCAAAGUCAUGGUUAAGUGGGAAACGAUGUGGGAAGGCCCAGACAGCCAGGAUGUUGGCUUAGAAGCAGCCAUCAUUUAAAGAAAGCGUAAUAGCUCACUGGUCGAGUCGGCCUGCGCGGAAGAUGUAACGGGGCUAAACCAUGCACCGAAGCUGCGGCAGCGACACUAUGUGUUGUUGGGUAGGGGAGCGUUCUGUAAGCCGUUGAAGGUGGCCUGUGAGGGUUGCUGGAGGUAUCAGAAGUGCGAAUGCUGACAUAAGUAACGAUAAAGCGGGUGAAAAGCCCGCUCGCCGGAAGACCAAGGGUUCCUGUCCAACGUUAAUCGGGGCAGGGUGAGUCGACCCCUAAGGCGAGGCCGAAAGGCGUAGUCGAUGGGAAACAGGUUAAUAUUCCUGUACUUGGUGUUACUGCGAAGGGGGGACGGAGAAGGCUAUGUUGGCCGGGCGACGGUUGUCCCGGUUUAAGCGUGUAGGCUGAUUUUCCAGGCAAAUCCGGAGAAUCAAGGCUGAGGCGUGAUGACGAGGCACUACGGUGCUGAAGCAACAAAUGCCCUGCUUCCAGGAAAAGCCUCUAAGCAUCAGGUAACAUCAAAUCGUACCCCAAACCGACACAGGUGGUCAGGUAGAGAAUACCAAGGCGCUUGAGAGAACUCGGGUGAAGGAACUAGGCAAAAUGGUGCCGUAAC
rnacentral:rRNA from 1 species